rnacentral:lncRNA from 10 species
GAGCUUGCAGUGAGCCGAGAUCGCGCCACUGCACUCCAGCCUGGGCAACAGAGUGAGACUCUGUCUCAACAAUAAUAAUAAUAAUAAUAAUAAUAAUAAUAAUAAUAAUAAUAAUAAUUGCUAAAUGAGAGCAAAGCUUUUCAAAUCAAUAGACUGUUUCAUUCUUUCUCAACCUCUAAUACAGAAAACAAAGAUCUUUUAUGUCAUAUUUAGUGCAUGCUCAAUAAAUGUUCUUUAUUUUUUCUUUUCUUUAACACCGAGUGAAAAAAUAAUUUUAUCUGACCUUCCUUCCAAAAUUUUAUUUGGCUGACAGAAUGCUAGGCUUACAUAGACAGGGAAGGUCACAUGGAGUACUUGGGUCAUUCAAUAUAUGAAACUUUUCCGUGGAAAAUAUUAAUAAUUAUAAUUGUUGAGUGUAAUAAUAAUCCAUAUCUUGACAUUAAAAGAAUUGCUGAGUUUUAUGAAAAUGAUUAUUUCCCUUCCUUCCUUAUAAUAACUAAUGGCCUAAUUCUAAUUCUUAAAAGUAUUUUUGGAGAAGCACUAGAUUAGGAGACAGAAAGAAAGAAAAAAAGAUAGAAUAAAAGAAGGAAGGAUUCUAUCCACCUGGCAUUUCUCAGUGUCUGCUGGUUCCAAAAUAUAGCACCAUUUGUAGUGGAUGAUGUGAAGAUUCCCCUUCAAGAAUGAAAGACUCAUUUUCCUAGAUUCUACAAGUGCUCUCAGCUGUCAGCCCUCUGUAAAUUGCCUUAGCUAAAGAGCACCAUUUUGUUCCAGCAUCUACUAUCAAGUGACCAAGGAUAUAAAGGCCUAACCCUCUCACCCGAAUUUAGGACAACUCUCAAGGGCAUGCCAGCUUCGGAACUGUCUAUUGGCUCUGCUGAGGCCUUCCUCAAGACUGCAUUGCAGACCAACUUCUUCUAUCUGGUCCCAUAAUUCUGCCUUCUUCCCUCCCCUCCAUAGGUGUUGGUCCCAAGAACGGUCUCAUAUAUGCCUCUUGCUACCCCAUCUCUUCUUCCUCAGAGGCAAUCUUCUUCUCUUGGAAACCUAAUCUGUGAAGCACUCACUGAGAACACUGAAAGUACACCAUUAGUCUCUGCCUGUGGCCAUUCAUUCCUUAAAAGAGUUUACUAUUAAAAUUAAGCUACUGAAAAAAUGAACCUUAGACAAAUUUUCACUUCUCCAUAAUUCCCCUUAUGUACAUCUAUCUCCUUUGAUAGAAUGCCACAUAAGCAUUCACACAUAUCAGCCUAGAUUCUUUGCUUGCCCAAUAUGUUUGCGUUGUGUGCUCAGGAUGUGUAACAAUAAGCAUUUGGAGUACACUAAGAGAAUUUGUCCCUGCAAAAUAUACGAAACUUUCACAGCUAAUAUUGAUAUCAAUUUAAAAUAGAUAUCAAUGUUAACAUAAUUAAGAGGUGUGCAUUUCACUGUGGCUUUUAAACUUUCCUUAUGACUGUAUAUUUGUUUGAGAGAUCUCAAGACUUUAUUGUUUACUCAUUCUUUUUCCCAGAAGGGCAAUUAUAAAACCUUGUCUCCUCAACCAUUCUUCAAAUCUCAAUACUUUCACUAAUUGGAGCUCAGGAAACACUCAUUUCAACACUCAAUUCAGAUCUUAUUGCAUGUUUUUUUUUUUUAAUUCCAUCAAGGAAACUGUCAGAAAUAUAAAUGCAAUUAACAUAGGAUUGACAAACAAAAUGCUGAAUUCUUUUAUUUAGUAAGCCAGUGAUUCUCUCCAUGCCAAGUAAAUAUCUUAGUAUUGCACAGCACAUAAACUGAACUUAUCCAACUGUUUGGUUAUGCAAAACAAAUCCAUUGAUAUUUAAUAAUAGUAAUUAAAAUUUAAGUGUCACAUUCCAGAAACAUUUCCAUCCAAAAAAAGACACUUUAUAGAAAUACUAAUUUUUUAAACUGAAAGAUAUCAUCCAACAUUUCAAAACUGAAACUUGUAAAAUACAACUAUUGGUUAGGUCUACAUAGAUGCAUACUGAACUGACUAUUCUUCAAAUAAUGUUAGCAAAAAAAAAAAUUUUUUUUUUUUUUUUUAGACAGAGUUUCACUCUGUUGCCAAGGCUGGAGUGCAGUGGCACAAUCUCUGCUCACUGCAAGCUGCACCUCCCAGGUUAAAGCAAUUAUGCCUUAGCCUCCAGAGUAGCUGGGACUACAGGCGCCCGCCACCACGCCUGGCUAAUUUUUGUAUUUUUAGUAGAGAUGGGGUUUCGCCACUCCCUGCCCAGCAAACAAAUGUUUUUAAGGGCAGUAAUUUUAUGUGAGACUGUAAUGUAACUAAAUUCCUAAGAGAUCAUUUGAAUCCACCGUAGUGAAAGUGAUGUUUAUACGUAGAAGUGGGGUGUGGUAUAAAUAAACAAUAAGCAGGACAUAGUACUCUGUAGGACUGGAGAUUCAGUGACAAGUCAAACAAGAAAGGAGGAGAGAAUUCAUACUUCAGAACACUUCCUAUUAGCAAUUAUUGCACAUAGGAUUUGUCCCAAUUCUGCAUUUGCCCAGUUUAUUCUCAGAAAAUACUUCAAAAUUAUGAAAUUGGAACAAUUACUUCAAAUGUAUGCUUAACUAUAAUUCUAAAUUAAUUCAUUAUAAUAUCUAUUUAUGAGUGGGGAAGGAGAAAAGAGUGGAAAGGGAAAGACAGGAGGGAAGAAGGAAGAGGAAAAGGGGGAAAGAAGAAGAAGGGAAGAGAGAGAAGGGGAGAGGAGAAGGGUGGGAGGGGAGGGGAAAAAGGGAGGGGAGGCCAGGUGUGGUGGCUCACCCCUAUAAUCCUAGCACUUUGGGAGGGUGAGGCCUGCAGAUCCCUUAAGCCCAGGAGUUCAAGCCCAGCCUGCACAACCUGGUGGAACACCGUCUCUACAAAAUAUGUAAAAAUUAGCCAGGCAUGGUGCCAUGCACUUGUAUUCCCAGCUACUCUGGAGGCUGAGGUGUGAGAAUGGCUUAAGCCCAUGAGGCGGAGGUUGCAGUGAGCUGAGAUACUGCUACUGAACUCAGCUUGGGCAACAGAGCCAGACCAAGUCUCAAAUAAAUAAAUAAAAUGGGAAGAGGAAAGGGAGCACAGGGGAGGGGAGGAAGGGAGAGGGAAGAAUAAAAUAACAAUGACUUUUAUCAUCUAGCGUUUUUCAGUACUUGCUAGUUCCAGACUAUAGUACCAUAUACAAAAGAGUUGAGAGUUGCUCACCUAUUACCUGCCCCUGGUCAUUCAUCCUUGACAAAAGCAUCAGUUUACUGACAGACUUUGUGGUUUGAGGUACUUUGUUAGCACAAUUGCCUCCCAUCCUAUCUGUAGGUGUUGAUUUGUAUCAGGAAGGUCAUGACUGGUUCCUCCCAAACUAUUGGUCCAAUAAAUGAGGAGGGGCCACUACUUAGGAAAAUUGUUCUAUAUUUAGUUUUAACACCUUUAUAGAGAUGCAACUGAAAUACCACACAAUCUGCCUGUUUAAAAUGUACAAUUCAGUGACAUUAGUGCAUUCACAGAGUUGUGCCUCCAUUAACACAAUUUAGAAUAUUUUCAGUACACCCCCCAAACCCUUUGACCCUCAAUCUUCAAUUCCCCAUACCCCCUCCAACCCUAGGCAAUCAUUAAUCCACUAUAGACUUGUCUAUAGUGGACAUUUCACUUAAAUGGAAUCAUGAAAUUAUGUCAUUCCGGCUUCUUUCAUUUAGCAUAAUGUUUUCAAGGUUUAUACAUGUAAUAGCAUGCAUUGAUACUGAAUUCUUUAUUGUUGAAUAAUAUUCCAUUGUAUGAAUAUACCACAUUUGUUUAUCCAUCAGCUGAUGGCUAUUUGGAUUGUUUCCACUUUUUGGCUAUUAAGAAUAAUGUUGCUGUGAACAUUUGUCUAUGUAUUUUCAAUUCUUUUGGGUAUAUACCUAGAAGUAGAAUUGCUGGAUCAUAUAACUCUGUGUUUAACAAUUUGAGGAACUACAAUAUUCUAUGUUUUUUUUCAACCAUUGCCAUAUAUUAAAAAAAAAAUUCUCUGAAAAAAAAAUUAAUGCCAAAUUCUGUCAGUAUUGGUUCAGUUUGCGGCCACACAUCUUAGACCAAAGCUCCUACUUAAAAUUGUCUUAGUUGUUUAAUGAAUUAACACUGUAAGAGCUUGAUGUGCAAAAGAGAUUCGUUAGCUAGUCUUUCUUCUUGAUACAAUGUUCCAAAUAUUGCCAAUAAAAAUUAACUUAAUUCCUUGAAGGUAGAAGCACUUACUGAUAAGUUCCUCACUGCAAUACCUUUAGUGUUUUUUUGUUGUUCUGGAACUUCAAUAUAAAAUGUAAUGUUGGAAAAGUAAUGCCACUAAUAAAAAUAUGCAAUAUUUUACAUCCUUGUAAUUGUUUACAACUUAUCAGUAACUCCAACCUGAACAUACACAUUCACACCUUACACACACAUACAAUAAACUCACAUAUAUACACACUCACAGAAGGGAAGAAAAGUUGUGAGUUUGCACCACCAGAUUACAACGUAUUGGACCAAGUUUUCUAGGGAGGGGAAGUUAUGUGACAAGGACACUCAUCCAAAUCUCUCUUAAUCUUCCUUUCUCCAGUGCUGGCCAGGUAAGUGGAGUCAAGAUAUGCUUUCAAUCUUAUUAGAAACCAUCUGUUAAGUCCACGUGUCAUGUGGCUGACCAGAAAGCAGUUAUAGCCAAUGACACAGAUCUGCUCUUAGGGGAAAGAAAGUAGGGGUCCCUAUCUCAAAUCUAAACCACAGGCAGGAUGCAGCAUAGGAGGAUGUGGGCAUUCCUAACCCCUUAGCCAUAUUGUCACCACUACGUGUGAGAACUGUAGGAAGUUUCUUAAACUUUGAAACGUCAGCAUAUUUAUUAUGGUAAUAAUACUUAUUGGCAAGUUAGGGGAAAAAAUCACAAGUCUUGUAUGGAAUUGGGUGAUUCUGCAGAGUUGCAAUUGUGACAAAUAAAUUAUACUUUCUGAGACACUCUUCAGUUUUAGCAAUUACAAUAGCAAAUAAUUAUUAUUCAUAACAGUAUUAACAUAGCAAAUGGUCAUAUUCCUUAUAGAGAUAGCAUUUCCAAGAAGUCUUUAACUUUUUUUCUAAUUUGUCAUUUCAGUCUCUCAGAAAACAUUGUCUUCUACAAUACCUGCCUUUUACAGUUGUCCUAAGGCCUAAGAUCAAAUACACCACAUAAAAUAUGAGGCACGUGGCAAGAAUUCAAUAAAUGGUAGCUACUACUACUAUUACAGCUAUUUUCAUCCCAACCAAAUAUAUACUUGGAAAUGUAAUUGCAACACAAGAUAUUUUGAGAUAUUGAAAGGACAAAUUUGAAAAACAAAAUAAAG